rnacentral:rRNA from 1 species
AGUGAACGCUGGCGGUAGGCCUAACACAUGCAAGUCGAACGGCAGCACAGGAGAGCUUGCUCUCUGGGUGGCGAGUGGCGGACGGGUGAGGAAUACAUCGGAAUCUACUCUGUCGUGGGGGAUAACGUAGGGAAACUUACGCUAAUACCGCAUACGACCUACGGGUGAAAGCAGGGGACCUUCGGGCCUUGCGCGAUAGAAUGAGCCGAUGUCGGAUUAGCUAGUUGGCGGGGUAAAGGCCACCAAGGCGACGAUCCGUAGCUGGUCUGAGAGGAUGAUCAGCCACACUGGAACUGAGACACGGUCCAGACUCCUACGGGAGGCAGCAGUGGGGAAUAUUGGACAAUGGGCGCAAGCCUGAUCCAGCCAUACCGCGUGGGUGAAGAAGGCCUUCGGGUUGUAAAGCCCUUUUGUUGGGAGAGAAAUCCAGCUGGCUAAUACCCGGUUGGGAUGACGGUACCCAAAGAAUAAGCACCGGCUAACUUCGUGCCAGCCGCCGCAGUAA